rnacentral:tRNA from 1 species
GAGAGAGGUCAGGGACACGACAGAACUGCUAAUUCUUCUUACCAUGGCUCAAAUCCAUGGCUCACUCA